GAAAUGCGAUAAGUAGUGUGAAUUGCAGAAUUCAGUGAAUCAUCGAAUCUUUGAACGCACAUUGCGCCCCUUGGUAUUCCAUGGGGCAUGCCUGUUCGAGCGUCAUUUAUACCCUCAAGCUCUGCUUGGUGUUGGGUGUUUGUCCCCGUCUCCGCGCGUGGACUCGCCCCAAAGUGAUUGGCAGCCGGCGUACUGGUCCCGGAGCGCAGCACAUGUCGCGCAAACGAGUGCCUUGGUACGGCGGCGUCCAUAAGCCCCUCUCUCACGCUCUUGACCUCGGAUCAGGUAGGGAUACCCGCUGAACUUAAGC
rnacentral:misc_RNA from 1 species